AUUGAACGCUGGCGGCAGGCCUAACACAUGCAAGUCGAGCGGGAGCAGGGAGCUUGCUCGCGCAUUCAGCGGCGGACGGGUGAGAAAUGCCUAGGAAUCUGCCAGAUAGCGGGGGAUAGGGUCCGGAAACGGGCGAAAAUACCGCAUACGACCAGAGGGCGAAAGUGGGGGAUCCUGGGAUCUCACGCCAUCAGAUGAGCCUAGGUCGGAAUAGCUAGUUGGUGGGGUAAAGGCUUACCAAGGCGACGAUGCGUAACUGGUCUGAGAGGAUGAUCAGUCACACUGGAAGUGAGACACGGUCCAGACUCCGACGGGAGGCAGCAGUGGGGAAUAUUGGACAAUGGGGGAAAGCCUGAUCCAGCCAUACCGCGGGUGUGAAGAAGGUCUUCGGAUUGUAAAGCACUGUAGGUUGGAAGGAAGUGCAGUACGUUAAUACCUUGCUGUUUUGACGUUACCAACAGAAUAAGCACCGGCUAACUUCGUG
rnacentral:rRNA from 1 species